rnacentral:tRNA from 1 species
GCCUUCGUGGUGUAGUGGUCAGCAUGCUCGACGUGUAUUCGAGGAGUCCGUGGUUCGAGUCCCGGCGAGGCCA